rnacentral:rRNA from 1 species
UACAGGGGGUGCAAGCGUUGCUCGGAAUCACUGGGCGUAAAGCGUACGCAGGCGGACCGUUAAGUCGGGUGUGAAAGCCCGGGGCUCAACCCCCGGAACUGCAUUCGAUACUGGCGGUCUUGAAUACGGGAGAGGUGAGUGGAAUUCCUGGUGUAGAGGUGAAAUUCGUAGAUAUCAGGAGGAACACCGGUGGCGAAAGCGGCUCACUGGCCCGAUAUUGACGCUCAUGUACGAAAGCGUGGGGAGCAAACAGG